UGAAUACGAGAUGCUACGGCGUCGAAGCAGUCUAUGUCAUACUUCCAAGAAAAGCUUGCACUGUCAUAAACAAAUAAUGCCUGUACCAUAACCGACACAGGUGGGUAGGUAGAGUAUACUAAGGGGCGCGAGAUAACUCUCUCUAAGGAACUCGGCAAAAUGACUCCGUAACUUCGGGAGAAGGAGUGCCUUAUUUUAUAAGGUUGCAAUAACAAGAUCCAAGCAACUGUUUACCAAAAACACAGGUCUCCGCUAAGUCGUAAGACGAUGUAUGGGGGCUGACGCCUGCCCAGUGCCAGAAGGUUAAAGAAGUUGGUUAGCAUCCGCGAAGCUGAUAACUGAAGCCCUGGUGAACGGCGGCCGUAACGAUAACGGUCCUAAGGUAGCGAAAUUCCUUGUCGGGUAAGUUCCGACCCGCACGAAAGGCGUAAUGAUUUGGAUACUGUCUCAGAGAGGGGCUCGGUGAAAUAGACUUGUCUGUGAAGAUGCGGACUACCUGCACCAGGACAGAAAGACCCUAUGAAGCUUUACUGUAACUUGAAAUUGAAAUUGGACUUUACUUGCGCAGUAUAGGUGGGAGGCGUUGAGAAUAUUCUUGCGGGAAUGUUGGAGCCAUCAGUGAGAUACCACUCUUGUAAUGUUAGAUUUCUAACUUUGUAUCAUUAUCUGGUCAAAGGACAGUUUCAGGCGGGCAGUUUGACUGGGGCGGUCGCCUCCCAAACGGUAACGGAGGCGCACAAAGGUUUCCUCUGAACGGGUAGAAAUCGUAUCUAGAGUGUAAAGGCAUAAGGAAGCUUGACUGUGAGACCUACAAGUCGAGCAGGGACGAAAGUCGGUCUUAGUGAUCUGACGGUGCUGAGUGGAAAGGCCGUCACUCAACGGAUAAAAGUUACUCUAAGGAUAACAGGCUGAUCUCCCCCAAGAGUUCACAUCGACGGGGAGGUUUGGCACCUCGAUGUCGGCUCAUCGCAUCCUGGGGCGGUAGUACGUCCCAAGGGUUGGGCUGUUCGCCCAUGAAAGCAGUACGCGAGCUGGGUUCAGAACGUCGUGAGACAGUUCGGUCCAUAUCCGGUGUAGGCGUUAGAAUAUUGAGAGGAGCCUUCUUUAGUACGAGAGGACCGAGAAGGACAUACCUCUGGUGUACCAGUUAUCGUGCCAACGGUAAACGCUGGGUAGCUAUGUAUGGAGUGGAUAACCGCUGAAAGCAUCUAAGUGGGAAGCCCACCUCAAGAUAAGUAUUCUC
rnacentral:rRNA from 1 species